rnacentral:lncRNA from 1 species
GCGGGGGCUAACGGGAGCACAGGGCUAGGGAUCCUGAGCCGGGCGCAGAGUGAGCGGCCCGUCGCGUUCAUUUCCAUAAGAAAGCUGAAAUCGCGGUUGGAGGGAGGAUUUCUCGCCCUAACCGCCCUCCCCCUAUACCCGGUUUUCGGCAAGAAACGGGCUCCGGAGCUCAGAGCCCUACGUGUGUGCGCUGGUCUUUGAUGGUAUUGAUAAAAUGUGGUUUCAGAUGUUGCCCCGACUGAGGCCGGUUUCCUGUCUGUUGUGCGGAGUGGAAGGACCGCGCGGGGUGAGUCCGGGGCGCGGGGGGAGCGGGCAGGAGAGGCAGGGGCAGGGCAGAGGGAGCGCAGCCUGGACCCUCGGAGGAAGUUCUCCGGUGGGGUUCCUAAGAGGACAGCCGGGAUGAAACGAAGAGCCCGAGGACAGAGGAGGGGGGGGGGCGUGAUUUGGGAGGAGGGGUCACGAAGCCCCCAGCCCAGCCGCCUGGCUGGUGGGAAGGUCCGGCCAGCCUUGCCAAGUGCCUCUUCAAACACCCGGGGAAACUUUCCCUCGCCGCCGCAGACCCUCUUCCUGAGAAGGAAUAAAGCGAACUUGCUCACACACUCGGUCCCACGGACGGUUCAAUUGUUCCUCCUUUCGCCUUGAGCCUCUUUUCGGCUUUCAGUGUGAACAGCAGCCAUGUGUCCUCAAUUCUAUUACAUAUAUAUAUAUAUAUAUAUAUAUAUAUAUAAAAUCUCCUAGGUACUUUAUGAUCCCAUCUGGAGAAAUUAAAACCCAGAUCUGUAAUGUUUAUUCUUAGAUAGUUUACAAAAAGCAGGGGGAAAAAUGUGUGAGACACAUGUCUGCAAAUAUAACAAAAGUACUUUCCCUUCUGCUUGAGAAAGUGGCCUGCAAAUGGCUUCCCUUUACUGGUUCUGGACCCCUUGUACUUCCCCCAAGAAACUAAAUGGGGUCGGGAGGAAAGCACCAAUCAGAUCAAGCAAUUAAAUGCCCAUUAUGACUAUUAAUGACUUUAUUACUAAUGGUUGGAGUGAAGGACUCCAAAGCUGCUCGCGGUGAUCAAGCGGUUUCCGAAUUCUGCUACCUAAGAUGUUUACAGCACUCCACCCCAACGGAGGAGGUCAGAAGCUAGAGAGGAUGUUUUCAAAGAGUCCACCAGUAGGUAUCCCAUGCACAGUCAAUGCUGAAUUUCUCUCUUUCAGUAAAGUUUAUUGCUACUCCUGAUAAAUGAGGGAAUCUGUGUUUCUGGGGGGCAUCGAGUUAUGCGAUGAGUUACCAGGCUUGGAUGUGGCCCUGGAGUGGGGAGGGUGUGUUCCCUCACCAGUGACUGGGGAAAUGCUCAAGCCCUAGAAGAUUUUAAGGAACAAGUGUUUGAGAUCUUCGGAUGGGCUAAUGGAUAUCCAGAUGGCUGGGAGGUGAGGAAGUGAGCGAUGGUGAACUUGGGGAGCCAAGGAGAAAUGAGGAACGGGGCCUACCUUUAAAAUUUUUCUUUUUGCUCGUGGGUUGAAAUGGUUUCGGCCUGUCAAAAGCCGAGCGACUGCUAGCGAAGUAAAGGGUAGCGAGAAGGGUCUGUUGGGGUACUGGCUACUGUGACUGGGUUUGUUUAUUAGUGAAGAUGGUUUCUCGCUCCUCCCUGCCUCUUUGUGGACACCCUUGUGAUCCCAGAUGGAAAGAACUGACCUGGGAGGGCACAAGGGAACCAGCUGCCUGUUGGGAUCCCAUAGCAAGAAGAGAGGGACGGGGCAACUUGCAGGGGCUCUGGUCAGCCACCAUGCAGCAGGGGGAGAAAGGCGGUCAAACCUUUGGAGAGGAGCUAGCAGCUCAUUUUGCUGUAGGUCACCUCCGCUCAUUGCCCUGGAGUCCAGCCCUUUCUAGUGGCCUCUCAGGCCGCUGGGUGAGUGGGGGGCAAUGAAUUUCAAGUCUGUCUUGUUUGGGACGUGUCCCCAGCACCCUGGCCCCUGGGUGGAAGCCCAGAGCAGCAGCAUACAUCUGGUUCUGAUGUAUUUACCAGGCGGGCAUGGAAAUGCCCACGCUGCACGGCAGAAACCUGAGCUGCUGGCGACCAGCAGACUCCUCUGCUAAGCAGCGUAAAAGUUUGGAUAGUUUCAGAGUGCCGGGUGGCCCCUUGUCUUGACGGGAAGCACAUGAUCACCCCCUCCCCGUUCUAUUUUGUUGAGUUAAUUGCCCAGCAGUGAGGGCAUCUCACACCUCAGCCACGGAAUACUGAAGAGAAAGGAGUCUUCCACAGGUAACAGGAUAGCGUGGAAUCAUCUUGGCCACCCGGAGGGUCCCACAACCUCACCUGAAUGAAAUGGGCCUGGGGUAGUCUCCCUUCACUGGCUCCCAGGGUGCCUGUCUCUCCUUCCUGGCCCUGACUGUUAGCAACCUACAUAAUACCCUGGGUCCUGAGAGUAAAACUACCAUAGCUUCCUUGAGUGGGCAGCCGACUGACCCCAGCGGCAGAUCUUCACAGGACAGCUUCAUAUGUCAACAACAA